GUACUCGCUUCAGCAGCACAUAUGCUAAAAUUGGAAUGAUACAGAGAUUAGCAUGGCCCCUGCACAAGGAUGCUAAUGGAGCUUCAUGAAGCAUUCCAUAUUUUU